rnacentral:rRNA from 1 species
AAGACCUUGCGCUUUUGGAGCGGCCGAUGCCUGAUUAGCUAGUUGGUAGGGUAAAGGCCUACCAAGGCGUCGAUCAGUAGUUGGUCUGAGAGGACGACCAGCCACACUGGGACUGAGACACGGCCCAGACUCCUACGGGAGGCAGCAGUGGGGAAUUUUGGACAAUGGGCGCAAGCCUGAUCCAGCAAUGCCGCGUGAGUGAAGAAGGCCUUCGGGUUGUAAAGCUCUUUCAGUCGAGAAGAAAAGGUUACGACUAAUAAUCGUAAUUCAUGACGGUACCGACAGAAGAAGCACCGGCUAACUACGUGCCAGCAGCCGCGGUAAUACGUAGGGUGCGAGCGUUAAUCGGAAUUACUGGGCGUAAAGGGUGCGCAGGCGGCUUUGUAAGUCAGAUGUGAAAUCCCCGGGCUUAACCUGGGAACU